rnacentral:misc_RNA from 1 species
GAAAAAGGAAAAAAAAAAUAAUAUGUCAAAUUUUGAUAGAGGCAAAGAAUUGGUUGAGGGAUCAUCACCUGCAACGCCUAGUCGAUAUGAGUCUCAAAAACGUCGUGACUGGAAUACGUUUGGUCAGUACCUAAGGAAUCAAAGACCACCCGUUUCCAUUUCCCAAUGCAAUAGCAACCACGUGUUGGAGUUCCUUAGGUACCUAGACCAAUUUGGGAAGACUAAGGUUCAUUUGCAAGGUUGUAUCUUUUAUGGUCAACCCGAGCCCCCGGCUCCCUGUACUUGUCCGUUAAGACAAGCCUGGGGGAGCCUGGAUGCUCUCAUCGGGCGGCUCAGAGCCGCCUAUGAGGAGAACGGUGGCUCCCCCGAGACAAACCCUUUCGCGAGCGGCGCGAUUAGGGUGUAUCUAAGGGAAGUGAAAGAGUGUCAAGCAAAAGCAAGAGGAAUUCCGUACAAGAAGAAAAAGAAGAAGGCUAGUGAGAGCAAAGGAGAUGAUGAUUGCACUUCUUCUCACCCAUUUUCUUGAUCCAAAAAAUGAAAAGUGAUGAAUUGUGUCUUCAUGAGAAGGUUAUUGCUGAACACUUAAGGGAUUUGCUAUAUAUAUAGCUCUGGAAGAAUUAUGUUUCAUAUUUAUUAAGUCAUCAUUUGUUGUUUUUUUUUAUAUAUAUAAGUGCCUUGAUUUCCUUUUUUUCUGCUAAUUAAUUAAUUAGCAGUCAUGUUCAAUCAGAGGCAUUUUCUUCAAAUUAUUACUGCUUAGUAAUUUAAAUAUUCUACUGUUCUUU